rnacentral:lncRNA from 1 species
GCAGAUGGAAGCCUGAAAUGUGCAAAAGCCAGGCAGGCAGACCAAUGCAUUUAUUUGAGAAAUAAAAAAAAACCCAGUCAUGAAAAUGACACAUGGAUUCAAGAUGAGCUAGAAGCAGAAGGACCUUAAACUACACAAUUACUCCCCACAAGCUCAAGCCAGAAUCAAACAAAAACCAGAAAUAAACAAAACCUGGAGCUGAACAAAUAUCUGAAUGCCACAGCCAGACUAAAGAAGAAACAAGAAGAAACUGAUGUAACUGGGCUUGAGAAGAAACAAGGAUCCUCGCAGCAGAAGAUGUCUUAACUUCAGUGCAACAAAACCCCAAGUGAUAACAUCAGAUUUUGCCGGAAUGGAGUUACAUCCUGGCUGUCAUGCAGAUACCCAGGCCUCCAACAA